GAGCGGCGGGUGUGGUUUUCAUUAACUGUGCACUUGGACGUCGGAAUUCAGACAAAGCUGGUAUGAUGACUGUCAGCCAUAAUGCCGGUCAGCGUGAGCCCGGCUGCGGUUGAGCAGAGUGCUGGAAGGCCUGUGCGAUUACCCCUGCCCCCCUGCUGCGAGCACUGCAGCGGUGGAGGGACUGAGAAGGAGAGUGAGAGAACCUUUUGGCGACAGCAACCCUGGGAGAGAUGCAGAAAGCACGUCCCCUGGGGAGAAAAGCUGCCUCAGGCUUCAGAAAGCCUAUUUACAACAAGCUGUGCUUGUUACUUUCAUCAAAAUAGAGCACUGAGCUUUUCUCCUGCCUUGUUUUUUUGUGCUUUUGGCAGGAGGUUGUUAUUGUAAAGCACUGACUCCAUUGUGCUCAGCGGUGCGGUGAAAGUCUAGCUGUCCACUGCCAUGGAGAAGACAAGAGAGGAGAGACAGUUGGACGGAAGACACACCUUUUUUCCCAGAGACCCCGGCAUGUUUUAUAGACUCUGAAGGAGCGUCUCUGGGAGGAGUAGAGAAACCUGCUAUGUCACCGAAUUUCCCCAACCUUUGAUCCUCAACAGUACUCCAUCAAGUUCAAUUAGAGGAUCAGUGGUCUCUGGCGGGCCCGUUUGUCAUAAUCUAUUGGGUAUGGCGCGUUCCAGAUGUUGAAGAAGAGGACAGAAAAUCAAUAAACUGGAUUGGGCUGCCAGGCCCAGAGGGAGGUCUCCUUACCCUGGCUUGCGUGGCUCAGAAUCAACUCUCCUCUAUCAAGCCUCGUUUUUUUCCGCCGUUUGGUCCAUCAAAUUGAAUUUCAUCAAAAGGUCUCAACAAAAAAAGGAAGAUAUAUAGCAUACGGCUUUUGUAUUCCGGAGACUCUCAAUUUGCCCUCCAGACAAAUAUGCAAUCAAAUAUAGUCAGGAAGGGCUGCUGUUUGCUUUAGAUUUUAUAAAAAGCAAACACCAUCUGAGUUAUCACUCCAGUAGUCUUUACUCACCAGUAGAGGAGAGACCCUCACUUCUGUUUGUUAUCAUCAAACACAGAUACGCAUUGCGCGGACUGAAAUAUUUC